AGGAAUGUAUAGCAAUAGCUACUUGUAUCAUUAAUGAUGCAAGCUCGACUAUGUUGAAUAAAAUUCUAGGUAGAAUUAUGAUAAUGACAUUGUCUGCCUAUGUGUCUUGACCAAAUUACGUGCCAGCAGUCGCGGUAAUACGUAGAAGACUAGUGUUAUUCAUGUUUAAUCGGUUUAAAGGGUACCUAGACGGUGAAUCAAGCUUUAAAUAAAUAAGAAAAGGGACUAAUUUACUAGAGUUACUUACGAGGGGGUAUUAAAGUACUGCUGGUGUAGAGAUGAAAUUCUGUCAUACCUCUUUUCGAAAGAAAAAUCAUGGCACAGGUAUAGGCGAAGGCAUCCCCUUAUGUGAUAACUGACGUUGAGGGACGAAGGCUUCGUCUAAUGAACAGGAUUAGAUACCCUAGUAGUUGAAGCAGAAAAUGAUGAAUGUCAUAGAUUAGACGUCUAAGUUUAUUCUAUAAAUGAAAGUGUAAGCAUUCCACCUCAUGAGUAAUUUGGCAACAUUGGAAUUGAAAUCAUUAGACCGUUUCUGAAACCAGUAGUGAAGUAUGUUGUUUAAUUUGAUAAUCCGCAAAAAACCUUACCACAAUUUGAAUAUUUAUAUUAUUUAUUGUUAUCUCAUUAAUUUUUUUCCUUUUUUAAAAACCAAACAAUUAAACGAUAAUAAAAAUAUUACAAAAAAAAAAGACAAUAUAAUUAAUCAAGAGGCAAUAACAUAUAUCUACAAGCGUUGCACGGCUGUCUUCAGUUAAUGUCGCGAGACUUAGGUUAGUUCCAUUAAAUUAACGUAAACCCUUACUUUAUUUUUUAUAUAGAGUAGUUCCCCGCUAUAUUGGAUAUGAU
rnacentral:rRNA from 1 species